CCCCGGACUCGCGUCCGGGGCUAAAACCUGCCACCGCUUCGCGGUU
rfam:Rhodopirellula maiorica SM1 cSM10155, whole genome shotgun sequence.